rnacentral:rRNA from 1 species
GUGCCAGCAGCCGCGGUAAUUCCAGCUCCAAUAGCGUAUAUUAAAGUUGCUGCAGUUAAAAAGCUCGUAGUUGGAUUUCUGGCUUGGUACAGUUUACCGGCCACGGUUUCGUGUGUUAGUGUUUGCUGUUCUGGCCAUCCUUCCAAUCGCUGCUCACUUUUCUUCAUUGAUUGGUGAGUGGUAUUGGAUCUUUUACUUUGAAAAAAUUAGAGUGUUUCAAGCAGGCUUUAUGCUAUGAAUACAUUAGCAUGGAAUAAUAAUUUAGGACUUCGGUUCUAUUUUGUUGGUUUCUAGGACUGAAGUAAUGAUUGAUAGGGAUAGUUGGGGGUGCUAGUAUUCAGCGGCCAGAGGUGAAAUUCUCGGAUUCGCUGAAGACUAACUUAUGCGAAAGCAUUCACCAAGGAUGUCUUCUUUAAUCAAGAACGAAAGUUGGGGGAUCGAAGACGAUCAGAUACCGCCGUAGUCUCAACCAUAAACUAUGCCGACUAGGGAUGAGUGAACGUUGCAUUUUCGACUUCAUUCGCACCUUAUGAGAAAUCAAAGUCUUUGGGUUCCGGGGGGAGUAUGGUCGCAAGGCUGAAACUUAAAGGAAUUGACGGAAGGGCACCACCAGGAGUGGAGCCUGCGGCUUAAUUUGACUCAACACGGGAAAACUUACCAGGUCCAGACACAGUAAGGAUUGACAGAUUGAAGAUCUUUCUUGAUUCUGUGGGUGGUGGUGCAUGGCCGUUCUUAGUUGGUGGAGUGAUUUGUCUGGUUAAUUCCGUUAACGAACGAGACCUCGACCUGCUAAAUAGUUCGACAAAGGAUUCUUUCUUUGGACGUGACCUCUUAGAGGGACUAUCGGUGUGUAGCCGACGGAAGUUCGAGGCAAUAACAGGUCUGUGAUGCCCUUAGACGUUCUGGGCCGCACGCGCGCUACACUGAUGCAUUCAUCAAGUUUACAACCUUGACUGAGAGGUCUGGGUAAUCUUCGCAACAUGCAUCGUGCUGGGGAUAGAUUAUUGUAAUUAUUAAUCUUCAACGAGGAAUUCCUAGUAAACGCAAGUCAUCAACUUGCAUUGAUUACGUCCCUGCCCUUUGCACACACCGCCCGUC